AUGAUAUUCUAUAUCAUGAUAUUCUAUAUCAUGAUAUAUAAUAUAUAAAACUGAAAAAUCAAGAAGUGGAAUCAGCAUGAGAUUUCACUACAAAGGUAAACACCAGCAGAAAUGGCUGAGUUCUAAGGGUUGCCUAGGGAGGGACUUGUGUUGGGGAUGGGGGGGCAGGAGAUUGCUGCCCUAUGUUAUAAGCUUUAUAGUACAGUUUUUAACUGUGUACCAAAUUAUAUUUCUAACAAUGGAAUUUUUUGUGGAAAAAUAUGUAUCAAACAGGAUAAACCCGUGGGAUGUGGGUGGGAGCCCUGGAGCCAUAGCAGGAAAGUAAGAUAAAGAGGCGAUGAGGACCUGCCUAGCAGAGAAAAUACAGCCCCAGAGGCCCCUAUAUCCAAAUGUCCAGCCUGUAAGGGGCUGUUGCCUCUGCCUCCCGGCUCUCAGGAACCUCUGUGCUGGGACCGACACCCCCUUUAGACUCCUCAGACUUGAUGUAGCACAAGCCACCACACUCAGCUCCCACUAGAACCCCGUGCCUGGACCAGACCUAGUUUAGGAGAAGGACCCAAUCCUUACAGCCUCCAGGGUGAAUUCCAAAUGUGUUUCCUAGAGAUGUGUCCCAGGGUUGAUGGGGUUCUGAAGCAGUUUCAUCAUGUGUUAACCCCGGAAGCCUUCAGCUUUAGGGCAGAGAUGGGAUGCAGAUACCCCCACCAGGGUCUGGGAGCUGCCAGGAGUCAAGGGUUCUUUAUGGUGGUUCUGGGAACCAAGAAAUCCUUGCUUUCUGAGUCUCAAGCAUCCAACUUACAAAUUAACUUUUGAACCUGAGACUCUCACAGUUAGGGGUGGAGGAGGUUCUGUGUCAUCUGUAAAAAUCGUGGAGUGCAGAAAUGAUUUGUCCCAAAUAUUAGAUAACCCAAGUAGUCCCUAAAAGAGACCACAGGUGGAAAGCUCAUGAACUUUGGAUACCUGAUUUUGAAUCCCAGCUCUACUACUUAGUACCUGAAAUUAUGGGUACUUCUCUGUCUCAGCUUCCUCAUCUGUAAAAUGGGGAUAAUACUUGCUUCACAGGAUUGUUGUGGAAAUUAAAAACUUGAAAGCACUUGUAAAACUCCUAACACUGCUAUUAGUCAUGACUUCCGCAGGAUUCAGCUGUGGCACUUGCCUCAAGAGUUGUUCAGAUGACGUAAGAAGGCGGAUUCUUGACCACUGCGCCACCAGGGAAGUGCAGGAGACCAACUUUGAAGACCCAUGGAUCUAGUGGAACCAGUUUACCUCUGUCUCCCUGGACUGACACCCCUAGACCGACCCAGGCAGGGGAGUGGCGGGCGGGUGAUGAGGACCAUGCUGGCAGAGGAAACACAGCGCCCCACUGGACGAGGAGACAAGCCCGGGAACAAGUCCUGCGAGUCCUGCUGCCGCAUCCCACCCCUGGAGAGAGGCCCCACCCCCAGCUGUUCCUUAGCCCUGGAGCAAAGAGCAUCCACAGGCCCAGCAGGUUCCCAGAAGCCUGAAAUCUCUAUCUCUUCCUGUUCCUGCCUCUCCGGUGAACUGUCUCCGACGUGUUCUCCCCAAGUGCCGUGCCGGGGAGCAGCAGGCAGUGGAGAGGAGAGCUGCCCGGCUGGAGGCCCAUCAGGGACCCCAGGCGGUGCCCUCCCUCGCUUCCCUCACAGCUCCCACCUCCUCACACCACUUUGUUUGCUGACAACAAACAGAGCCCUCAAUUCCACUGAGCCAGGGCCUGGGAGAGAUGAAGCAUUUUGCUGUGUAAUAAUCGUCAUGGCCACCAUCUGUUGAGUCAGGCACCCGCUGCAUGCUUUAGGGAUCCUCACCCACCUAUGCAGCAGAUACUUCUAAUGUUCCCAUUUUACAGAAGAGGAAACUGAGGCCCAGGGUGACCAAGAGUGCCUGUAUUUGAAUGCAGAGCAGUCAGGUGCCAAAGACCAUGCUGGGUUGAGCAGGGGGGCGCGGUCUGGUGAAAACAAAUCAGGAUUCAGUGCGGGGAGGGAGGUAUGCGCAGGCAGAGAAAGACACAGAUCAUAAUGUCUAGAUGAGUAGGGUAAAGUCAGCCCCUUGUCCCACUGGGGUAUUUUCCUUCCACUAAUUAACAAAUGAGAAUAAAGUUCAGUCACUGCACAGAGAUUUUGCCCCCGUGUUGGACGCUGUCUCAUGCCCAGCGAGGCUGAGCACACGCCAUGCUCUCCUGAGUCCUCCCUUAUCGGGAGACCCAGGGUAGGCUCAGGGAAGCAGUUGUCUUUUCAGGCCUGUAUAAGCAGGAGGAUUUGGCUUAGAGGGUUUGCAGGAGCUUCCGUCAAUCAAAUAGCCUCUCAGCACCUUUGGGGCCAGAGCCUGUCUCUGGACCGACCUGAAACUCCUCCCAGGGCUGUGGGAGCCGCACCUGGGCGUGACCCCUGAGCUCCAGGACUGGGAGCUGCAAUGCCACAGCCCCCAACCCAUCUCAGCUGUCAAACCUCCACAGCUGUCUCGUCUUCCCACGCCACCUGCCCCUUUCCUUCAUCCUCUUUAUUUUUUUUUAUUGUGGUAAAAUACACAUAACAUAAAUUUUAACCAUUUUUAAGUGUACGGCUCAAGUGACAUUAAAUCCAUUCACAUUGCUGUGCAGCCAUCACCACCAUCCUCCCCAGAGCGUUCUCAUCAUCCCAGGGUGAGCCCUGUGCCCGUUCAACACUAACUCCCCGUCCCUCCCUCCCCACCCCCAGGCACGCCCGUUCUACUUUCUGUCUCUAUAACUUAACUACUCUAGGUGCCUCAUGUAAGUGGAAUCAUACAGUAUUUGUUCUUUUGUGUCUAGCUUAGUGUUCUCGAGGU